rnacentral:rRNA from 1 species
AACGAUCAGUAGCCGGCCUGAGAGGGUGAACGGCCACAUUGGGACUGAGACACGGCCCAAACUCCUACGGGAGGCAGCAGUGGGGAAUAUUGCACAAUGGGGGAAACCCUGAUGCAGCGACGCCGCGUGAGUGAAGAAGUAUUUCGGUAUGUAAAGCUCUAUCAGCAGGGAAGAAAUACUGACCAUAGGGUCAGCAGACGGUACUUGACUAAGAAGCCCCGGCUAACUACGUGCCAGCAGCCGCGGUAAUACGUAGGGGGCAAGCGUUAUCCGGAUUUACUGGGUGUAAAGGGAGCGUAGACGGCAGCGCAAGUCUGAAGUGAAAUGCCAGGGCUUAACCCUGGAACUGCUUUGGAAACUGUGCAGCUAGAGUGCAGGAGAGGUAAGUGGAAUUUCUAGUGUAGCGGUGAAAUGCGUAGAUAUUAGGAGGAACACCAGUGGCGAAGGCGGCUUACUGGACUGUAACUGACGUUGAGGCUCGAAAGCGUGGGGAGCAAACAGGAUUAGAUACCCUGGUAGUCCACGCUGUAAACGAUGAUUACUAGGUGUUGGGGGACCAAGGUUCUUCG